rnacentral:rRNA from 1 species
UGGGGAAUUUUGGACAAUGGGCGAAAGCCUGAUCCAGCAAUGCCGCGUGUGUGAAGAAGGCCUUCGGGUUGUAAAGCACUUUUGUCCGGAAAGAAAUCCUUGGCUCUAAUACAGUCGGGGGAUGACGGUACCGGAAGAAUAAGCACCGGCUAACUACGUGCCAGCAGCCGCGGUAAUACGUAGGGUGCAAGCGUUAAUCGGAAUUACUGGGCGUAAAGCGUGCGCAGGCGGUUUGCUAAGACCGAUGUGAAAUCCCCGGGGCUCAACCUGGGAACUGCAUUGGUGACUGGGCAGGCUAGAGUAUGGCAGAGGGGGGUAGAAUUCCACGUGUAGCAGUGAAAUGCGUAGAGAUGUGGAGGAAUACCGAUGGCGAAGGCAGCCCCCUGGGCCAAUACUGACGCUCAUGCACGAAAAGCGUGGGGGAGCAAAACAGGAUUAGAUACCCUGGUAGUCCACGCCCUAAACGAUGUCAACUAGUUGUUGGGGAUUCAUUUCCUUAGUAACGUAGCUAACGCGUGAAGUUGACCGCCUGGGGAGUACGGUCGCAAGAUUAAAACUCAAAUGAAUUGACGGGGUCAUA